UGUUAAAAUUUUAUUCAUUUGUACUAUUAAAAAUUGGCGUGACUGAUAAAAUAAUCAAACAGUGCCACGUGUACCAUAUGUUGACGUAUAAGGACUAGUUUUUAACUGUAGAAAUCGAUAAAUUUCUUUUUACA
rnacentral:pre_miRNA from 1 species